AGGGUUUAUAUAACAGUAUUGCCUUCAUGAAGGACUUACUGCAGGACUGUUGAAUUUGACUGCAUUGUUUCAGCUUAAAGUGCUCCUUUAUGCUCUUUCCA